GGAUAACAAUUUUGGAUUUGAUGCUGUUUUCAAUUCCAAAUUCUAACGCAUUUGAAUUUCAAAAUACUGUUGAAUGGCAUAUCAAUAUACUGAAUUCAUUCAGUUUAUACGAUGUGCUGAGUAUUUUCGUUUACAUCACCUAUACCGUCCAAUUCAUUAAAGAUACCAGGCUUCAUCAUUGUUCAUUAACAUUUAAGUGUUAAACACUUAUUAUACUGUUUGGAUAACUUCAUAUCCAAUGAUAUUACAAGAACAAUGUAUUGGUUUAUAAGUUUGUUAUAUCAUGUAAUAAAUUAUUUAUAUGUUUGAAGGAAUUUAGUUGUAAAACUGUGCUUUAUAGCAUUAAUUUUCUUUUGAUCUAUUCAAUUGUCUAUCAGUAAAAUAUACCCGACGUUCAUUACUUUGAAAAUAGGCUAGGUAGUGUGUGUUUUAACAAUUUGGGCAAUAUCAUUCAUGGUUGGAACUUACUCAUCAACUGAAUAGUUCAUAAUUUGUUAACGUUUGUUUUAUAUUCUGAACUAUCAUAUUAAUAAAUUAUCUGCCAGUAAAUCAUGUAUUUACAAAAACUGAAAUUAAAUUUUACUCAAGAC
rnacentral:lncRNA from 1 species